rnacentral:rRNA from 1 species
AAGGGAACGACCUCAAGCUUUGCUUGAGGAGCCGUGGCAGGUGGUGCAUGGCUGUCGUCAGCUCAUGUCGUGGGACGUUGGGUUAAGUCCCGUAACGAGCGCAACCCUUGCCCUUAGUUGCCAGCGCCAUGGGCGGGGACUUUAAGGGGACUGCCGGAGAAUAUCCGGAGGAAGGAGGGGAUGACGUCAAGUCAUUAUGCCCCUUAUGCUCUGGGCGACACACGUGCUACAAUGGACACUACAGAGGGGAGCGAUCCCGCGAGGGUGAGCAAAUCUCAAAAAGGUGUCCCCAGUGCGGAUUGGGGUCUGCAACUCGACCCCAUGAAGCUGGAAUCGGUAGUAAUCGCGGGUCAGCCAUACCGCGGUGAAUACGUACUUGGGCCUUGUACACACCGCCCGUCACACCAACCGAGUAGGCAACACCCGAAGUCGACGUAUGUUGCCUAAGGUGUUACCUGCAAGGGGGGUGAAGUCGUAACAAGGUAACC